GUGGAUAUAGUUCAGUUGGUUAGAGCGCCAGAUUGUGGCUCUGGAGGUCGUGAGUUCGAAUCUCAUUAUCCACC
rnacentral:tRNA from 1 species